UGAGCUCAGGCAAGGCUACCCGCUGACCUUAA
rnacentral:rRNA from 1 species